rnacentral:misc_RNA from 1 species
GAUGAAGAACGUAGCGAAAUGCGAUAAGUAAUGUGAAUUACAGAAUUCAGUGAAUCAUCGAAUCUUUGAACGCACAUUGCGCCCGCCAGUAUUCUGGCGGGCAUGCCUGUUCGAGCGUCAUUACAACCCUCAGGCCCCCGGGCCUGGCGUUGGGGAUCGGCGGAGCCCCCCGUGGGCACACGCCGUCCCCCAAAUACAGUGGCGGUCCCGCCGCAGCUUCCAUCGCGUAGUAGCUAACACCUCGCGACUGGAGAGCGGCGCGGCCACGCCGUAAAACACCCAACUCUUCUGAAGUUGACCUCGAAUCAGGUAGGAAUACCCGCUGAACUUAAGCAUAUCAAUAAGCGGAGGA